rnacentral:rRNA from 1 species
GACGUAGGGCGCGAGCGUUGUCCGGAUUUAUUGGGCGUAAAGAGCUCGUAGGCGGUUUGUCGCGUCUGCUGUGAAAACCCAGGGCUCAACCCUGGGCCUGCAUUCGAUACGGGCAGACUAGAGUGUGGCAGGGGAGACUGGAAUUCCUGGUGUAGCGGUGAAAUGCGCAGAUAUCAGGAGGAACACCGGUGGCGAAGGCGGGUCUCUGGGCCAAUACUGACGCUGAGGAGCGAAAGCGUGGGGAGCGAACAGG